rnacentral:rRNA from 1 species
UGGGGAAUAUUGCACAAUUGGCGCAAGCCUGAUGCAGCCAUGCCGCGUGUGUGAAGAAGGCCUUCGGGUUGUAAAGCACUUUCAGCGGGGAGGAAGGCGGUGAGGUUAAUAACCUCAUCGAUUGACGUUACCCGCAGAAGAAGCACCGGCUAACUCCGUGCCAGCAGCCGCGGUAAUACGGAGGGUGCAAGCGUUAAUCGGAAUUACUGGGCGUAAAGCGCACGCAGGCGGUCUGUCAAGUCGGAUGUGAAAUCCCCGGGCUCAACCUGGGAAAUGCAUUCGAAACUGGCAGGCUAGAGUCUUGUAGAGGGGGGUAGAAUUCCAGGUGUAGCGGUGAAAUGCGUAGAGAUCUGGAGGAAUACCGGUGGCGAAGGCGGCCCCCUGGACAAAGACUGACGCUCAGGUGCGAAAGCGUGGGGAGCAAACAGG